rnacentral:lncRNA from 1 species
GGAAUGGGAGCAUCCAUAGGGAGAUGUGAGUACCUCAGAACAGCUCCACAAAGGGAAUUCUUGCUUUGUAGCCUUUCAGUUCAUUGAGAGUGGAAUCCCUUUACAUAGCGGUACAUAAGAAUUCUGAAGGAUCAGAGCUUCAAUGGGCUUCACACAUUAAGACCAUCCUUGACAAAACAGCUGACAGUCUGGGAAAAGGAUGAGCAGUGAUACAGGUUCAAGCUUCCUAUCUUACAGCAGGUAACUCCAGCUAACAAAAUCCAUAGGAAAGCCACAUCAAACUGUCAGUGAAGGCAGAUGUGCCUGGAAUACAAGCUUCAAAGUCAGCAAAGCCAUAUAUGAGAGCAUCAUGGGGACUGGAUGGGAAAACAAGGAAGAUGGAAGAAGGUUGUUCUGUUGCUGUCUGAAAGCUCCUGGGAGAACAGGGAAGAGUUUAUGGAAGUCAUCAAAGGCGAGCCAGAUGGUCAUGGGAACACCCUUAAAAACAAUCAUACAUGGAUCUGCUGUGACUCCUACCACCCUCGCAAUGAGAGGUCUUGGGAUCCAGUUCUUGGACAUGCACCUGCAAGAUACAAGCUGCUACAGAGUACCUGGCCUUGUUCAGAGACGAAACAAAGCACUCCAUGCACUUGAAGGUACGUGACAGUCCAGGGGCUCUAAAAAGGCCUUUGUAGUUACCAGGAGUCUGUGGUGCUCCCUCCGCCCUUGGUUUGGCUGAUGUUGGCAGCGUGUGAAGGAUCUCUUGCCCAAAGUGACUUUUCCUCCUUUUAGUACUUGC